GUGUCCGUGGUUUAAUCGGGAAAACAUUCGAAUAUGGUGCGGAAGAACUCGGGUUCGAGCCCCGCUGAAGGCA